rnacentral:rRNA from 1 species
AAUGAACGCUGGCGGCGUGCCUAACACAUGCAAGUCGAGCGAGAAAGGUCUUCGGACUGAGUAAAGCGGCGAACGGGUGAGUAACGCGUAGGAAUCUGCCUUUUAGUGGAGAAUACCCUCGAGAAAUCGAGGUUAAUACUGCAUACGUCUUGAAAAAGAGAAAGAUGGCCUCUUUGCUGUCGCUAAAAGAUGAGCCUGCGUACUAUUAGCUAGUUGGUAGGGUAAAGGCCUACCAAGGCGAUGAUGGUUAACCGGCCUGAGAGGGUGUACGGUCACA